rnacentral:rRNA from 1 species
AGUGAACGCUGGCGGUAGGCCUAACACAUGCAAGUCGAACGGCAGCACAGUAAGAGCUUGCUCUUACGGGAGGCGAGUGGCGGACGGGUGAGGAAUACAUCGGAAUCUACUUUUUCGUGGGGGAUAACGUAGGGAAACUUACGCAAAUACCUCAUACGACCUACGGGUGAAAGCAGUGGAUCUUCGGACCUUGCGCGAUCGAAUGAGCCGAUGUCGGAUUAGUUAGUUGGGGGGGUAAAGGCCCAUCAAGGCGACGUUGCGUAGAUGGUCUGAGUGCAUGAUCGGCCACAGUGUAAGUAAGACACGGUCCAUGCUCCUACGGGAGGCAGCAGUGUGGAAUAUUGGACGAUGGGCGCAAGCCUGAUCCAUCCAUACCGCGUGGGUGAAGAAGGCCUUCAGGUUGUAAAGCCCUUUUGUUGGGAAAGAAAACCAGCAGGUUAAUACCCCGCUGUUCUGACGGUACCCAAAUAAUAAGCACCGGCUAACUUCGUG